UGUUCAGUGCACUCCUACAGGAUUGGGCCCCACAGGCAAGAGAGGCUUUCCACUGCCUGCUUUCUGGUUUGAGGAUCCUUCUGGGGUUUAGGUGUGAGGCAGGUGUCUGGACACUGAGAAAGAGGCAGCAGUGCCCAGGCCCAGAAGCAGAAGUUUAGGAAUCUUGGGAAAUUUUACCAUCGAAAUGUUGGUGCUGAGUGAGUUGAGGCCCCUGCAGAGUUAGGGGCAGCCAGGCAGAGGUUUUCUGGAUUUCAGUGGCAUCUAAUUCUGAGAGUCAGGGGUUGAAACUGGGCUUUAGCCACCUAAGUCCCAUUUGGGAUCUGGGUCUUCACCACUCCACUUCACCACAGUUUCCCAUCUGUGAAAUGGGGAGAACAUCACUUACCUUCACUGUAAAGUGCUUGAGCUCUACAGAUGAGAAGUGCUAUGUACGCGCUAGGGGAGCAUGAGUGUAAUGAAAUGGCCCAUGAGUCUCCACAUGUCUGUGACUUGCCAUCACAGGGAAAGACAGAAGCUUACAGGUAGGAAAUUGUUUCUCAUUUUGACUCUCUGGGCUGGUUUAUCCAGGACCAAGAGCAAUUUCUGCUGGCCCAGCUGGGGGAACUGGACAGGGAGAUUGGGAAGAAAUGAAGUGAAAAUGCCACCAACUUUUCAAAGCCCAUAUCUCCUCUUUACAAGCUGAUCAGUGAGCUGGGCAGGGCCAGCAGCCAGCAAGUGAAUUUCUGCAGGUGAGACUGUUCCAGCCACCCAGACCCCUGCACAGAGAUAGGACAGCUCCUGAAUCCUGGGCGCUGGAGUCUGGCACUCAGAGAUCACAGCGUAACUCGGUGUGUGCAUGGCAGAGACGGGAAUUAUUACUGUUCUUUGUAGAGUUACAGACAUGCAGAUGUUAGAGGUGAAAAGCCUCAUUUGCUCAGAGAAUCCAUGGCUUUGGGGCCAGGGCAGGGCCUCUGUUUCUGGUGUUUCUAAAAUCCCUUCUGAUCCCUGUUGACACCUAGCAGGUUUCACUGGUUUGCUUGUUUUCCCUAAUUCUUUCCCUGCAGCCUUUACUGUCCCCGAAUAGUCUUGUUUCUUUGGCUGCUUCCCCCUUUCCAUUCCCAGGACAGGAUGUCAGAGGCACCUCAACCAGACAUGUGGCUCCUUCUCACUCCCCCUCACACCUCUUGAGACUGGCCAGGGGCUUGGCCACCAGGUGAAAGCCACGUCUCCCCAGGGCACCUCAGCACAGUGUGGACAGGAGCCACAUUGCCGCUACUUUCACUUUGUUCAAGUUAACCUUGAGGUUCUUGCCCUGUGAACAAAUCGGACUUCAGAGCACGUGUUCCACCCGCAUUCGCAGCUGCAGCCGGAGUCAGUGGGCGCUGCCAGUGCCCAGCCCCUUGGAGAACCAGCCCCUCAGCACUUAGGUCAGUCCCCAAAUUUGAACCCUAAAUCAAAAGACAUACUUGACAUUUGGACCC